rnacentral:pre_miRNA from 1 species
AGGCCUAGGCAUCUUGGUAAAAUGCAGAUUCUGAUUUAGUAGGUCUAGGGUAGGUGGGCCCAAGAGCCUGCAUUUCUAACAAGUGCCCAGGUGAUGCUGA